rnacentral:piRNA from 1 species
UGGCCGAUGUUCAGAACAUUUACUCCC